AGGGAGGGAAGGGGCAGCGAGACACGCAGGCUGCGGAGAAGACGGACGGACGACCGGCAGCAUCGCCAGCAGAGCCAAAAGCAGAAGCUACUUGAGAGCCACAGAAUUCCGAUUGCGAUGAGGCGAUCGUGUGUCUAUAUGCAUGCUGAGGAGCCAGGCAACGCGCGGUCGCACAGCCACCAUUCCACUCCAUUACCAGUUCGCAGAUCGCCGCUUGCAGCGGCCAACGUCCAGCAUCCAGCGUCUACCAUCUACAAUCCGCUCCCAGGAGCUGGCAAUCAAAUGGCCAACGUUGGACAAUGACUUUCACGCCUUUCGAGCGCGCCAAAACGGACAAGUCAAGUACAGGCGGCCAAGAGGCAUUCCCGAUACCCUACCUACCUACCCGUUUGGAGACUUCUUAGCCGAGUUAUGAAUACAAUAAAAAAAGAAAUCUAAGAUAUACAAAUCGAUGUAUCUUGGUAAAACCCAAAGCUCUUUCGAAGUCUAAGUACUGGAGAUACAUUAGCUGAACUCAUGGGCAUGAAUACUAUGAUUUAUCCCAUCUACACACUGUUUCCCGUGCACUUUUCGGCUAGAAGUCUCUCGUUUUCCAUUUCCGCUACGAUCAGUCAGCACCUAAGCCUCCAAUCUGAAGGGGGAGGUGUAUUUAAUAAUAUUCUAAAAAAACUGCAAAUGUUAUUGCUCUUUAUGUUUAGUUAGUUCUUAUCGCUUAAUCGGGGUUGUGCGCAAUACUCACAGCAAUCACAACAAAUUUAAGAUCGCAGGUUAGUUUUCAACUUGAAAUUGGAACACUUUACGUACUCGUUGGCCGUCGCCGAACCCAAAAAAAUAUAUAAACGGUCGGAUGACUCGGUUGACAAUCCGAAAAGAGGCUUGGGGCUCCAAGGAGAUAUAUACACUUUUGUUUGCCGAAUUCCCUAAGACUUCGAUUUUUCAUAAAUUCCGUUGCGUCGAAAGCUUUGCUGUUUGGGCACAAACGCGACAAGAAUCGGCUCUUGAAAACACAACAACGCGCAGAGUUUCAGGGUGCGACCGUCGCGUUGCAGCUCCUUAGCUGAUCUGGACGAUCCACCGAAAGCCGAAAACCGGGGAACGCUUCGAUCGGAUCUCAGUGAUGCCCUCUGCUCACUCCGCUCCCCACUAAAACCGCCAGACAAAGUUAAACCUUUCUUCACACCUCAUUAAUAGUUUUGUGAUUGUAUUUAAAAUCUAUUUAGUGAAAUGACUAAAGUUUAUAUUAUAAAGAUGGGUAAAUACAAACCGGAUUACACACAUAAAAGACAGUACUUUAGGAUUAUUAUUAAAAAUAUAUACGUAAAUAAUAACCAUAUACUUGUUGAGGGUUUCAUUUUAUAAUUCCUGUAUAAGAUAGAAUAACGUUUCAAAAUAUUGAAAAUGUUGCUCAAAAAAUAAAAAACUUAUUUAACAACAAAACGUAGCCUAAAAAAGACCAAACUGACAUAUCUAAUCAUACUCAUACUCAUGUUGCGCUCUCGAACUUCUUCCAACCGCAACCUCGCUCUUAUAAAAUUAUUAUGAAUUGUAAAGGAAGAUUGUUCGUCGACUUGUGUUGACAUUCUUUCUUUUGUAUUAUAUAAUAAAUUACAUUAAAAUAUUCUCAAGUGAUGUGAA